ACAAGAUUGGGACCGUCGGUCUACCGAGCAAUGUCACCCGCUCAGUGGAAGAACUUCCCUCCGUCGU
rnacentral:pre_miRNA from 1 species